rnacentral:rRNA from 1 species
AGCGAACGCUGGCGGCAGGCCUAACACAUGCAAGUCGAACGAACUCUUCGGAGUUAGUGGCGGACGGGUGAGUAACACGUGGGAACGUGCCUUUAGGUUCGGAAUAACUCAGGGAAACUUGUGCUAAUACCGAAUGUGCCCUUCGGGGGAAAGAUUUAUCGCCUUUAGAGCGGCCCGCGUCUGAUUAGCUAGUUGGUGAGGUAACGGCUCACCAAGGCGACGAUCAGUAGCUGGUCUGAGAGGAUGACCAGCCACACUGGGACUGAGACACGGCCCAGACUCCUACGGGAGGCAGCAGUGGGGAAUCUUGCGCAAUGGGCGAAAGCCUGACGCAGCCGUGCCGCGUGAAUGAUGAAGGUCUUAGGAUUGUAAAAUCCUUUCACCGGUGAAGAUAAUGACUGUAGCCGGAGAAGAAGCCCCGGCUAACUUCGUGCCAGCAGCCGCGGUAAAAC